rnacentral:rRNA from 1 species
UGCCCGAAUCCUGACACAGGGAGGUAGUGACAAGAAAUAACAAUACAGGGCUACUUCUAGUCUUGUAAUUGGAAUGAGUACAACUUACAUCUCUUCACGAGGAUCAAUUGGAGGGCAAGUCUGGUGCCAGCAGCCGCGGUAAUUCCAGCUCCAAUAGCGUAUAUUAAAGUUGUUGCAGUUAAAAAGCUCGUAGUCGGAUUUCGGGGCGGGCCGAGCGGUCUGCCGAUGGGUAUGCACUGUUCGGCGCGUCCUUCUUUCCGGAGACUAGUUCUACUCUUAACUGAGCGGGACUGGGAGACGGAUCGUUUACUUUGAAAAAAUCAGAGUGUUUCAAGCAGGCAGCUCGCUCUUGCAUGGAUUAGCAUGGGAUAAUGAAAUAGGACUCUGGUGCUAUUUUGUUGGUUUCGAACACCGGAGUAAUGAUUAACAGGGACAGUCA